rnacentral:lncRNA from 1 species
AGUCGAGGCCGGCAGCGCCUGCGGCGGCCGGCCCUCUCCUUCUUCCCGCGGAGGAGUCAUGCGCACGGGAGAAGAGGAAGAGCCCGGCGGUCGGCCUUCUCCUUCUUCCCUCUCUUCUUCUUUCUUUCUUUCUUCCUUUCUUUUUUUUUCAAAUGGUUUAACAAAGAGGUGAAGCUAGGAACCUUACCUCAGCCCCGAUGAAGAUCCAGCGGCUUCUUUCCGGUGGCAAACGGAAGAAAAGGGUCACCCGUGUCGUGGCUUCUCGGCUCUCUCUCUUUCUCUCCCUCUUGGGCGGCUGCACGAGGAAGAAGAUCGCCCAAGGAAGGAGGGGACUUGGGGUUUGCCGGCUCUUCUUCGGAUGAUCUCAAGGAGAGGAGGAAGACACCCUAAAUCAAGGCAUCUCGGCUUCUUCGGAGUGCCUCCCUCUCCUUCGUGGUGCGCCCUCACGUGCGAUGCACGUGAGGCCGAAUCUGGUGGCUGGGCGGUCAAGUGGACCGGGCCCAAUUUCAGGUUCUCACAUCCUCUCCCUCUUAAAAGAAAUUUCAUCCACGAAAUUUUCGUACAUGUAGUUCAAGAGUAGAGAAUACUUCUUUCAAAUCAAGUCAUAACACUCUUCAAAUCAAAGUCGCCUUGUCUGACCAAUGUCAAAUAAUGCCAUUCACCACACUUCCUUUGCACACUCUGAUUUAAACCUCAACAUACCCAUGUCAAGUCUAGAUUUUUUUUUCUAGAAUUACUUGCUUAUUGGUACAUUCAUUAUUAUAUCUUAAUCCGUGUGAACACUUUUCGAAAUUUAAAAGUUCAUAUUCUUCUUUUGAUAAUUAAUCAAAAAAAUAUUAUAUAACUAUUUAAUCUUUUCUAGCAUCAUAAUGAGUUGUCUAACAAAGAGUAGUGGGCAUGACUAAACAAUAAAUAGAAAUAAAUGUUGGGACUAGAUUAAUACCUGUCGUCAACACAUCAGAAGCCCGUGCAUCUUGCUGUGUAAGUGCAAAUACUCUUCCUUGAGUCUUUGGCCCCUGGCUUCCUUCUAUUACCUGAGUAGAUCUAUUCUCAUUUCUUUGUGGGCAGUCUGCAAUUUUAUGACCUAUCUUACCGCAUCUAAAGCAGGCAUCGGUGUUUCAAUAGCAAUCCUUGUCAGCAUGAGCCUUACCACAUCUGGAACAUUUAUUAAUAUUCAUCUACUUAGGGUUGUCACUCGUUGAUUUCUUGUUUGAACUCUCGGUGUUUUCAUUGCUUUGCCUUUGAAAUUCAUUUGACCUGUUCCUCUUCUUUUGAUUUUUUUCCCUUUCCAACCAUUCAUUAUUAACUUUUCUUUCAAUUAUUAAGCCUUAUUUACCACAGCUGCAUAGGUAGUCAAUUUAUAAGGUAUGACUUGUCUUCUAAUUUCAGUCUUUAGUCCUAUCUCAAAUUUAUGCGCUCGAUCUAGGUCAUCCUAGACUAACUUUGGAACAAAUUUGGCUAAUUCGGUAAAUUUAGCUUUGUAUUCUGCUAACAGUCAUAUUCCUUUGCUUUUAGAUGAAUAAACUCUUGCUCUUUUUGCGUCCUUACACNNNNNNNNNNNNNNNNNNNNAAUUAUUAAGCCUUAUUUACCACAGCUGCAUAGGUAGUCAAUUUAUAAGGUAUGACUUGUCUUCUAAUUUCAGUCUUUAGUCCUAUCUCAAAUUUAUGCGCUCGAUCUAGGUCAUCCUAGACUAACUUUGGAACAAAUUUGGCUAAUUCGGUAAAUUUAGCUUUGUAUUCUGCAACAGUCAUAUUCCUUUGCUUUAGAUGAAUAAACUCUUGCUCUUUUUGCAUCCUUACACUCCGAGGAAAAUACUUAUCAUAAAAUGCUCCUUGAAAUCUUUCCCAAGUGAGUGGCUCCCUAUCUUGCUCAUAUUUAUGUUCCAACAUCCGCCACCAGUUGAAUGCCUCACCUUGCAUCAUGUAUGAUGCAUAAAGAAUCUUUUCAUCAUUCUGGCAUCUCUGAACGGCAAGUGCUUUCUUCAUCUUUGUAAGCCAAUUGUCAGCUUCCAAAGGCUCCGUUGUCCCCUUGAAGGUUGGAGGAGCCAGCUUCUUGAACUCAGCUAUAUUACUACGCUGCUCGUACUGCUUUCCUCGUCCUGCAUGGUGCAACGACGUUUGUUGUUAUUGAACCUGUUGCUGUUGCACCUGUUGUUGCAUCUGGAUCAUAUCAACUAAAGUCCGCAUAACCUGGCCUAAGUCCGGUUCUUGUUGUCCUGUCUGAGUAUCACUAGUAGAAUUGACGACUCUCUCUUGUUGAGGGGUGUUACUAACUUGUUGGGGUGUGCUGCCAUUUUGCGGAUUUGAUGCCUUAUUAGUAGCUUUAAAAGUAGUCUUUCUCAUCCAACGUGGAGGCAUCCUGACCUAUAUCUAUCAGAUAACAGCAUGCCAAUAAUAAGCUUACCAGUUAAUUACAAGUAUAUAGGAUGGUUGUUACAAUUAUCAUAAACAACGUCCCAAUGUCCCUAGUGUCUACCUACCUACACUCAUGUCAUGCUAGAUUUUCUUUUAAUAUUUAUCUAUUCAUACUCUGAUACCACUUAAGUUGUCACGCCCCCGGCCCGAGAUCGUGAGCCGGGGGUCCGUGCCAACCGCCGCACACCCGUAGGAAACUCUCCCCAUGAGCAUGCAAGGCAUCUUAACCAAAUAUCUCAAAUAUGUAAUUAAAAUAAUUCAGCUAAAAUAAAUGCAAUCUAUUCCAUUGACUGACACAAAUUAUAAAGUCUCACAGUUCUAAAUACACAGCGGAACAAUAAACUACUAGCAUGUAAAACUUGGUUCUUUAAAUAACAAAACCUUACAAUGUUAACAAUAGUCUAAGAUAAAACAUCAAUUUAAAUAAAUCCUAAUCUAAGAUAACUUGUGCCUCAGUUCUUCUAGUCGCUCUCCCAUUAUGUAAAAUCCGGAUCGAGCUAACUCUUCGGAUCUGUAAAAAUAGUAAAAAAUCGUAUAAUGAGUUAGAUAGCCCAGUAAGUAAUAAAUAACUUAACUAGAUAAUUCAUAUAAUAACAUAAAAUAUAAAUAUAAAUUAUGACGAAUCAGCAUAAUGACAUAAUUAAUUUCUUUUCAAAAACAAAUCUAUUGAAAUCCGUAUCUUUCAAAUAUCCAUAUACAUAAUCAUAAAUCCAAUUCGAAACAAACCACAUUCAACUCAAUAGCCUUUAACUACCGCCACACUUAUAUCCUAUGGCUAGGCCAGAAACAGGACCACGCUUAUACCCUGCGGAGUGGGCCAGAAUACCGCAUUUAUACCCUACGGAGUGGGCUAGAAUAUCACACUUAUACCUUGUGGUGGCGCCAGAAUUGCCAAUGCAUAACCCCCAAUUGGCAGGGUCCAGAACAUAGUCAGGCUGAGAGUUCCAAAUCUGAUGCACAUCAAAAUUCUUUUGUAACAUAAUAGAUAUAUCAUAAUCCAAUCUAAAUAUGCAUAUACAAUGUAAGAACAGUAAAUAUAACAAUAGUCCGAAAAAUACUAUUCCAAUUUACAUAUCUAUUUUUCAUUCAAAUCAUCAUCCCAUAAAAUUCAUAAAUCACAUAUAAAUUCAAUACCGAUGAAGAUCCGGCGGCUUUUUUUCGGUGGCAAGCGGAAGAAAAGGGUCACCCAUGCCGUGGCUUCUCGGCUCUCUCUCUUUCUCUCCCUCUUGGUCGGCUGCACGAGGAAGAAGAUCGCCCAAGGAAGGAGGGGACUUGGGGUCUGCCGGCUCUUCUUCGGAUUAUCUCAAGGAGAGGAGGAAGACACCCUAAAUCAAGGCAUCCUGGCUUCUUCGGAGUGCCUCCCUCUCCUUCGCGGUGCGCCGAAUUUGGUGGCUGGGCCGGUCAAGUGGACCAGGCCCAGUUCCAGGUUCUCACAGUUAUACUGUAAGCAUUGUACUUGAUUGUUCAGAAGCUCUUGGGUACUCUAUACGUUGUAUUCUAUAUCAUGGGUAACUGGACAUGCUUGAACAGAAUCCUUUUCCAAGUUCUUAGUUUAUUUGAUAGUCCAUUGAUUAAAUAACAAGAUAUAUUGAUGAAUGAUUUUCU